rnacentral:snRNA from 1 species
AUGCUUGCUUUGGCAGAACAUAUAGUAAAAUUGGAACUAUACAGAGAAGAUUAUCAUGGCCCUU